GACGAACGCUGGCGGCGUGCCUAACACAUGCAAGUCGAACGGCAGCACGGGGCAACCUGGUGGCGAGUGGCGAACGGGUGAGUAAUGCAUCGGAACGUACCUUUCAGUGGGGGAUAACGUAGCGAAAGUUACGCUAAUACCGCAUAUUCUGUGAGCAGGAAAGCAGGGGAUCGCAAGACCUUGCGCUGAUUGAGCGGCCGAUGUCAGAUUAGCGAGUUGGUGAGGUAAAGGCUCACCAAGGCGACGAUCUGUAGCGGGUCUGAGAGGAUGAUCCGCCACACGGGAACGUAGACACGGUCCAGACUCCUACGGGGUGCAGCAGUGGGAAAUUUUGGACAAUGGGGGCAACCCUGAUCCAGCCAUGCCGCGUGAGUGAAGAAGGCCUUCGUGUUGUAAACCUCUUUCGGCCGGGAAGAAAUCGCACGGGCUAAUACCCUGUGUGGAUGACGGUACCGGAAUAAGAAGCACCGGCUAACUACGUGCCAGCCGCCGCCGUAACAC
rnacentral:rRNA from 1 species